GGUUCUUGAUUCAUGGCGGUUUGAAGAAGUGUGGAAAGUGGCUGGACCGAACAAAGAGGAAACCUCUUCUUGCCGCAUUGGAGAAAAUCAAAGAAGAGUUGAUGGUUUUUGGCCUUCUGUCAUUGCUGAUGGGGUAUUAGAUAAUUUUUGUUGCCAAGAUUUGCAUCAAGUCAUCAAUUUUAACAUGCCGCUUUUAUCCAUGCUAUAGAUGGGAUAUAAAGGAGGCUACCAUUGUAAAUCACACUGUUUUCAUGAGGUUUACUCAUUUGAAUGUCUCGGUUUGAAGGGAGUUGAUGGAAAAUGCCCUAAAUCAGUUUCUUCCACCGGUAAGAAUGCAAUGUUUAUGUCAUCUUUUUCCACUGGUAUACAUUAUCUAGCUUCUUCUGCAUCCAGUUAUAGCUAAGGCCUAGAAGAAAGAAGUGUGUUUCAACACCGCCGUAACAAAUGAAC